rnacentral:rRNA from 1 species
UACGUAGGGCGCAAGCGUUAUCCGGAAUUAUUGGGCGUAAAGAGCUCGUAGGCGGUUUGUCGCGUCUGCCGUGAAAGUCCGGGGCUCAACCCCGGAUCUGCGGUGGGUACGGGCAGACUAGAGUGAUGUAGGGAGACUGGAAUUCCUGGUGUAGCGGUGAAAUGCGCAGAUAUCAGGAGGAACACCGAUGGCGAAGGCAGGUCUCUGGGCAUUAACUGACGCUGAGGAGCGAAAGCAUGGGGAGCGAACAGG